rnacentral:lncRNA from 1 species
UCUGAUUAUUGAAGUGCAAAAGUAUAACAUGUGUUAUGUUACAAAGUGUAUAUGAUUUUAUGAUGGUUAUAAUGUUAUUGUUUUCAUAUGUUAUUUUCACGAAUCUCACCGAGGUAAGUAGACAGUAAAGGUUUUUAUUAUUAAUAAAUGAGUUUGUUAUAAAUUAUGCUCCAUUGGUCGUUUUUGUUUUCUACCAACCUUUACUUCU